GUUUUAGAUGUUAGGUUUUUGGCUCUUAUUACAUGUUAUGUUUAUUCACCAAAGGAGUUCUUCUGUAAAUGUUAUAAUCACAUCAAAUUAGAGAAAACAGCCAUAAAAACCUUGAACUUUCAAAUUAAAGCCAAAAAAAUCUUAAAUUUAUGUUUAAACUAUAAAAUAUUUGUUUAAACUAAACAAUUUUUAAAUAUUGGUCAUUUCAACUUUCAAUUUUUGUUAACUAUGCUAUUUUAUGAACCUAAAAAAUCAACUGUUAAAUUCGUAAACUCUGUUAAUUCGAUAAACGAUGUCGUUUUAAAAAUAAUUAAACAUUAAUGAAAUGAGAUCGUUUUACAUCUGUAAGCAUUUAAAUCAUCUCCUCUUUCGCAAAACAUAAUGUUUUUAAUUUUUUAAUCUCUCAAUCUUCUAAUCUCCAAAAUCCAUAGCCAUUGAUAAUAUAAAGGAUGGCUAGGAUGAUUGAGUUGCUUCGUAUUCGUCGUAGUGAUAUUUUAAACAAAAAGUGUUAGAAAAGUUACGAUUGAACAACAUAAUCAAGUCGGUAAAUAAGGUGAUAAUGAAGAUGAUAAUCUAUACUAUAUUAAAAGGGAUAUAUGAGCUCCAUUGAGCCUAUCCACGUCAGCCAAUUAAAUCAACCAAUCAUACAGUUUUAAUGAUCCACGUCAUCAUCAUCACCACGACUUAUCUCCUCCCUCCUCCUUCAAUUAAUCAUCGUCUCUAUGAUCACUCACGCUUCAGCUUCUCCUAUAUUCUAUAUACAAGCUUUUUUUUUUUUGGUUCUGCGACACUGGUCUGUGGUCUCAACUUCACCCGCCUUCGUCUCCAUGGACGGAUCGAAGGAAACGUCAACAAGCUCUGUGAUCAAUUCAAGAAAUCUUCUCGGAUAAAAGUUGAAUCUAGAAAUUCCAACACGAAGAAGAGAAGAUCUUCGCCGUUCUUUUUUGUUACAGAUCUAAAUCAUUUUUAAUUCUUUGGAUCUCUAUCUUCCUCAAUCACCACCACCACCACACGACGACCACCCGUUUGUUUUCGUCGUCCCAGCAUCACCACCACCACCACCACACGACCGUUCGUUCGCCGUCCCAGCAUCACCACCACCACCACCACACAACCACGGGGUGGAGGAAGCAAGGCAAGGCAGGUAUGGCGGCUGGAGGAGGAAGAUGACGGCUUCAGAUUCAGGAAGAGGAAGCUGACGGCGAGUUAGUGAAGAGGCGACGAGAUUAGGUCUAGAUGGAUGUGACGUUUGCCUCCUCUCUGCAACUUGCCUUUCAAAUCCCAGGAUGAAGAAGAAGAAUCGUGGCUGGAUACUGAUGAAGGUCAUGGAAAAACACAAAGACGAAGGUGGUGGUGCGGCCGGUAGAUGAAGAAGACAACGAAGUGGUGGUGUGUUUAGUUAGUAAUUAGGUUAAAGCCUGGUUUAGUUUUUGGUUUAUUUAGUUUGUUGGUUUAUUAUUUAAUUAGAUUUUUUUGUAUUUUUGUAAACUAAUUUAAUUAUAAAUAAAUUUAAGUAA